AGAAUCAACGCUGGCGGCGUGCCUAACACAUGCAAGUCGUACGCGAAAGUCCCGCAAGGGAUGAGUAGAGUGGCAAACGGGUGAGUAACACGUGGGUGACCUGCCUUCGAGUGGGGGAUAACGUCCCGAAAGGGACGCUAAUACCGCAUGACAUCCUGCUUUUAGAAAAGCGGAGAUUAAAGCCGGGGAUCGCAAGACCUGGCGCUUGAAGAGGGGCCCGCGCCUGAUUAGCUAGUUGGUAGGGUAAUGGCCUACCAAGGCUACGAUCAGUA
rnacentral:rRNA from 1 species